CGGAGGGUGCAAGCGUUAUCCGGAUUCACUGGGUUUAAAGGGUGCGUAGGAGGGCAGGUAAGUCAGUGGUGAAAUCUCCAAGCUUAACUUGGAAACUGCCGUUGAUACUAUCUGUCUUGAAUAUUGUGGAGGUGAGCGGAAUAUGUCAUGUAGCGGUGAAAUGCUUAGAUAUGACAUAGAACACCAAUUGCGAAGGCAGCUCGCUACUCAAUUAUUGACUCUAAGGCACGAAAGCGUGGGGAUCAAACAGGAUUAGAUACCCUGGUAGUCCACGCCCUAAACUAUGGAUACUCGACAUACGCGAUAUACAGUGUGUGUCUGAGCGAAAGCAUUAAGUAUCCCACCUGGGAAGUACGACCGCAAGGUUG
rnacentral:rRNA from 1 species